rnacentral:rRNA from 1 species
AGGGUGUAAACGCUGCAGACUUGGUGUUGGAGGCCCUUUGGGGGCGAUUCAGUGCCGGAGAGAAGUUGUUAAGUCUGCUACUUGGGGAGUACGUCCGCAAGGAUGAAACUUAAAGGAAUUGGCGGGGGAGGCACCGCAACGGGAGGAGCGUGCGGUUUAAUUGGAUUCAACACCGGACAUCUCGCCAGGGCGACAGCAGAAUGAUGGCCAGGUUGAUGACCUUGCUUGACAAGCUGAGAGGAGGUGCAUGGCGUGUGACUGU